rnacentral:rRNA from 1 species
CCUACGGGAGGCAGCAGUGGGGAAUUUUCCGCAAUGGGCGCAAGCCUGACGGAGCAAUACCGCGUGAGGGAAGACUGCCCAUGGGUUGUAAACCUCUUUUUUCAGGGAGGAAUUUUACGUGUACCUGAAGAAUAAGCAUCGGCUAACUCCGUGCCAGCAGCCGCGGUAAU